GACGAACGCUGGCGGCGUGCUUAACACAUGCAAGUCGAGCGGUAAGGCCCUUUCGGGGGUACACGAGCGGCGAACGGGUGAGUGACACGUGGGUGACCUGCCCUCAGCUCUGGGAUAAGCCUGGGAAACCGGGUCUAAUACUGGAUAUGACUCCAUGACGCAUGUUGUGGGGUGGAAAGCCUUGUGCGGCUGAGGAUGGGCCCGCGGCCUAUCAGCUUGUUGGUGGGGNGAUGGCCUACCAAGGCGACGACGGGUAGCCGGCCUGAGAGGGCGACCGGCCACACUGGGACUGAGACACGGCCCAGACUCCUACGGGAGGCAGCAGUGGGGAAUCUUGCGCAAUGGGCGAAAGCCUGACGCAGCGACGCCGCGUGAGGGAUGACGGCCUGGUGUAAC
rnacentral:rRNA from 1 species